UACGGAGGGGGCUAGCGUUGUCCGGAAUUAUUGGGCGUAAAGAGCUCGUAGGCGGUCUGUCGCGUCUGCCGUGAAAACCCGAGGCUUAACCUCGGGCUGGCGGUGGAUACGGGCAGACUAGAGGUAGGUAGGGGAGAAUGGAAUUCCCGGUGUAGCGGUGAAAUGCGCAGAUAUCGGGAGGAACACCGGUGGCGAAGGCGGUUCUCUGGGCCUUACCUGACGCUGAGGAGCGAAAGCGUGGGGAGCGAACAGG
rnacentral:rRNA from 1 species